GAUGAAGAACGUAGCGGAAUGCGAUAAGUAAUGUGAAUUGCAGAAUUCAGUGAAUCAUCGAAUCUUUGAACGCACCUUGCGCCUUUUGGUAUUCCGAAAGGCACACCUGUUUGAGCGUCAUGAAUACCUCAAUCUCCAUCUUUUCUUCGGAUUGAUGGGUGACUUGGAUGUUGAGCCCUGCUGGUAUGCUAUAUCAGCUGGCUUUAAACUUAUUAGCCGGCUCUGUACUGGAUCGGUUUGACUCGACGUGAUAAUAUUAUCGUUGAGGAUUCAUGUCUCAUGCAGCCGGAAAGUAUCAAAGCAGCUUCUAGCUUGCCUUUAGUGCACUUUUACAUUUUAGACCUCAGAUCAGGUGGGACUACCCGCUGAACUUAAGCAUAUCAAUAAGCGGAGGA
rnacentral:misc_RNA from 1 species